CAGCAAUUAUACAAGAUCGUCGUUUAUCUUCGGUUUUGAUCGGCAAACUUCGUACGUGACUUUGGUAUUGGGAGUGACGCCAUUUUGUGGCCAACUGCGCAGUGCGGCCCCCCACCUCAGGUCGAGUAUAUAAAGCCGCCAUGACGUCAUGUGCCCAACAUUCGUUUUUCGUCGUGGUGAAGUGCAGAUGUGGCUACGUUGUGUGUUGUGCUGAAGAUUUCAAGAAGUGAUAAUUGUGCCUGGUCGGAUUCAGUCCCAUUGCGUUUCGCGUGGGCCUGCAUCCGUCGGCCGCCAUCUUGGUUGCCGCUGGGGCGUGGUCGCUGCUAGCUACAAAAUGGGUUUGUAAAACGGUAUCAUGCAUUUAUAUAAGUAGUUAAUUUUAAGUGUUUCAAUUUCUCACGCAUAACGAUUAAAUUGGAAUUUUGAUUUUUAUUCAUAUUGAAUAAUAAAAUUGUACAUAUGUUUAAGUAUGGAAAUAAACAAUUUUUGAAAAAAGAAA
rnacentral:lncRNA from 1 species